rnacentral:rRNA from 1 species
CUCCUACGGGAGGCAGCAGUGAGGAAUAUUGGUCAAUGGACGCAAGUCUGAACCAGCCAUGCCGCGUGCAGGAUGACGGCUCUAUGAGUUGUAAACUGCUUUUGUACGAGGGUAAACGCAGAUACGUGUAUCUGUCUGAAAGUAUCGUACGAAUAAGGAUCGGCUAACUCCGUGCCAGCAGCCGCGGUAAUACGGAGGAUUCAAGCGUUAUCCGGAUUUAUUGGGUUUAAAGGGUGCGUAGGCGGUUUGAUAAGUUAGAGGUGAAAUUUCGGGGCUCAACCCUGAACGUGCCUCUAAUACUGUUGAGCUAGAGAGUAGUUGCGGUAGGCGGAAUGUAUGGUGUAGCGGUGAAAUGCUUAGAGAUCAUACAGAACACCGAUUGCGAAGGCAGCUUACCAAACUAUAUCUGACGUUGAGGCACGAAAGCGUGGGGAGCAAACAGGAUUAGAUACCCUGGUAGUCCACGCAGUAAACGAUGAUAACUCGUUGUCGGCGAUACACAGUCGGUGACUAAGCGAAAGCGAUAAGUUAUCCACCUGGGGAGUACGUUCGCAAGAAUGAAACUCAAAGGAAUUGACGGGGGCCCGCACAAGCGGAGGAACAUGUGGUUUAAUUCGAUGAUACGCGAGGAACCUUACCCGGGCUUGAAAGUUAGCGACGAUUCUUGAAAGAGGAUUUCCCUUCGGGGCGCGAAACUAGGUGCUGCAUGGUUGUCGUCAGCUCGUGCCGUGAGGUGUCGGGUUAAGUCCCAUAACGAGCGCAACCCCUACCGUUAGUUGCCAUCAGGUCAAGCUGGGCACUCUGGCGGGACUGCCGGUGUAAGCCGAGAGGAAGGUGGGGAUGACGUCAAAUCAGCACGGCCCUUACGUCCGGGGCUACACACGUGUUACAAUGGUAGGUACAGAGGGCAGCUACCCAGCGAUGGGAUGCGAAUCUCGAAAGCCUAUCUCAGUUCGGAUUGGAGGCUGAAACCCGCCCCCACGAAGCUGGAUUCGCUAGUAAUCGCGCAUCAGCCAUGGCGCGGUGAAUACGUUCCCGGGCCUUGUACACACCGC